rnacentral:snRNA from 1 species
AGAUGUGAGGGCGAUCUGGCUGCGACAUCUGUCACCCCACUGAUCGCCAGGGUUGAUUCGGCUGAUCUGGCUGGCUAAGCUGGUGUCCCCUUUCUCCCUCACCGCUCCCUGUGCUUCCCUCCCAAAGGACCGUUCUUCAGUCAAAGGUAUACAAGUAGCUGCACUCUCCUGAUAGAAGCUCCAAACAAACUCUCAAGAAAAUGUGGUAUAUAUACACAAUGGAAUAUUAAUCAGCCAGAAAGAAGAAUGAAAUGAUGGCAUUUGCCAAUAAAU